UGCUCCAGUUACACUUAAAUUUUAUCUAUAUUACUAUUCUCAUAAGAAUAACCAAAUAGUCUUAAGACGACGUACCUAUAUUGAUUGCGAAAUAAAUCAGUUCCAUCAGUCAUGUCCUGUUGCAGAUAUUUUACUGACCAUCUUACGCACGUGAUAACACUUGCUCUAGGCUUAGCCGGUAAAGUGCUUGCCAGCGCCGUGACCUUAGGAUUCUUCUUUUAUAUAGCUUUUAUCUUCCUAAUGGCCUUGGGAAUUAUAACUGGUAAUUUGGAGAAUCCGAUACUAAAAGAAAAGGGAAAGGUGAAGCCACCUUCUGAGCAGUAAUCCCGUACAACGUUCAGGAAGCAAAUUCGUAUUGUCCUAUUAUGUCCACGGAGAGAACUUACAAUCAUGAAGAUGGCAGUUUAGUCGGAAGUAUUAAGUUUAUUUGUUUAAGGAAGGAAGUCCCUAGUUUUUAUGUUUAUUUGUUUAUAUAAUUAUGUGCAAGUAUUUCUAGAGGAACUCGAGAUCCUAGGGUUUUGUUGAUCUACAAAUCAUGUAAUCCUUACCUAUUUCGUUUUUAUUUUCUGCGAUAAAAGUAACAAAUAAGCAAACCUUCAGCCAGAAAUGCCCUCUUGUGACUAGCGAAUAUUUUAAAUUGUCAUGAUUUACUUAGAGAUAGAGCUUCUAUCAAAAAACAAGUAAGGCGCUUUCAAAUUAGAUGCUUCUAGCACAGCAGUGGCGCGAGUGUGUGACUUCAGUAAUUUUUAGGUCACUAAUUGUGACUGCAAAAACGGGUUGCGACAACUGCGCUUGCGCUUCUAAAUAUCGCAUGAGAUUUAGUUGAGGCGCGACUGCGGCACCACUGUGGUGCUUAUAGGGCUUUAAAUGACAAUGUAUGCGCCGCUGUUUAUUCUGUUCGGAUGUAUACUGCAAAAGUACGUGCAGUACAAUGCCGUGUGAACGGGGGACGACGAUAUGACGCCCAAAGCCGAUUAAGUAUUCUGGCCCAAAUUCUAGAAAACUCGGUGUCUUAAGUACACUAAAAAAGAAAAGUAAAAAGUAGAAAAGUAUCUAUUUUGGUUUAAGCUACUGUUCUUGAAAAGCAGCGAUUUAGUACUUCUAAUCCUUUUUACGGUAAAUGAUAGAUUCUGUAAAUGGCAGACUCUUCAAAUGUAUAUUUACAGUCAAACAAAUAAAAACUUGAAUCACAUUUAUAUAUUUAAGUUAGAGUGUGGUUAUGACCUGUCGCUGAUCCCCAUGGCAAUUUAAGUUGUUGGUUUGCUUAGAAUUUUUUUUACUAAAUGAGCACUAUAUGAUUAGUUGGAUCUUUAAAGCCUUAACAAAGUUGGGUAAGCAAAGCAGAACCUAGCAGUUUAAUUACUUGAUCCCUUUAUUCCUAUUCCC